UACGGCCAUAUCACGUUGAAACACCGAUAUUCAUAAGAUCACCGAAGUUAAGCAACGUCGAACCUGAUCAGUACCUAGAUGCGUGACCGUUUGGGAAUACCAGGUGCUCCA